AAACCGAUCGUAGUCCGGAUCGCAGUCUGCAACUCGACUGCGUGAAGUCGGAAUCGCUAGUAAUCGUGAAUCAGAAUGUCGCGGUGAAUACGUUCCCGGGCCUUGUACACACCGCCCGUCACACCAUGGGGAGUGGGUUGCACACAAGAAGUAGCGUAGUCUAACCUUCUGGA
rnacentral:rRNA from 1 species